rnacentral:rRNA from 1 species
UACAGAGGGGGCAAGCGUUGUUCGGAAUUACUGGGCGUAAAGGGCGCGUAGGCGGCCUUCUAAGUCGAACGUGAAAUCCCCGGGCCCAACCCGGGAACUGCGUCCGAUACUGGAAGGCUUGAAUCCGGGAGAGGGAUGUGGAAUUCCAGGUGUAGCGGUGAAAUGCGUAGAUAUCUGGAGGAACACCGGUGGCGAAGGCGACAUCCUGGACCGGUAUUGACGCUGAGGCGCGAAAGCCAGGGGAGCAAACGGG